GCGCGAUUAGCUCAGCGGGAGAGCGCUACCUUGACACGGUAGAGGUCACUGGUUCAAUCCCAGUAUCGCGCA
rfam:Amycolatopsis methanolica 239, complete genome.